rnacentral:rRNA from 1 species
UACGUAGGGUGCAAGCGUUAAUCGGAAUUACUGGGCGUAAAGCGUGCGCAGGCGGUUUUGUAAGUUUGUCGUGAAAGCCCCGGGCUCAACCUGGGAAUUGCGAUGAAGACUGCAAGGCUUGAAUCUGGCAGAGGGGGGUAGAAUUCCACGUGUAGCAGUGAAAUGCGUAGAGAUGUGGAGGAACGCCGAUGGCGAAGGCAGCCCCCUGGGUCAAGAUUGACGCUCAUGCACGAAAGCGUGGGGAGCAAACAGG